UAAGUGAAUUUUCAAUGAUCGAAGAUCUACAUUCAUACCUCGACAGUUUGAUUAGCUUUACCACUAAGUCUGAAUUUCGAUAUGACGGCGUUCUCUUCAACAUCAACAUUGUUCAAGCUAGCACUGGUCUUCGCAGUGGGUUCUUUUGACAGGGGGUGAGUCGGAGCUUGAACCAGGUCAAUUUCCAAAGGCCAAUGUCCAUUACUAACUUCUUUGAUCCUCUGUGACACCUUCUGCGUGCGCCGCAAACCCUCUGGCAUCUGUCGCAACCCCUCUGCACUUCUCUCCCUGCCCAACUCCCUGUCAGAGCUUACGAUCACGGAUUUUAUCAUGAAGAAAGUGCCAAACAUCAGUGGUAGGGUAGAUAUGUUCAGCCGUUUACCAGAUGAGUUGUUGAUUCUGAUACUUCUUUGCUUCCUACCAAGGAUGCUGCUCCUAUGUGUGUGUGGUGUGUAACCGAAUGAAACAUGUUUUCUCUUGGAUUAUGACCCUCAACUUCCAUGACUCACCUAUAUCUCAUUGUUCGCAACAUCGCUAUGAAAUUGAAUGUUUCCCCACUUUCAAGACUUUUGUGGAUGUUGUCAUCCAUGCAUACCAAUCUCUCUAUCUCAGCAGGUAUCGACUUCGCGUUGGCGCUGCCUUCGCUUCCAGAUACUUUCACGGGGAUGAGGCUUAUUUUUGGAAAACAACAAUUGUAUCCCGGAAUUGAAAUCCAUGCAAAUUAACGCGUGGAUCUCUUUUCUUUUUGAGGGAGUAUAUCUCUUUUCCAUUAAGCCGCUGUGCCCUCAUGGAGCUUGAUCUUCUCAUUCAGUUGAGGGAACCAAGGGAUUGUCAGCUGCUGGCAAAAAUUUUCACAUUUGAAAUGCUAGGGGUGUUGAAGCUGGAUGUCAACCUUGGUCUCAAACAAGUUUCAAAAGCGUCACCCAUUCGUCUUCCUCGCUUGAAACUACUCCACUUACGUGCUUCUCUCUGUAAUUCCGAGGAUUUGUUCUUGAUGUUCAAAGAAGGAGCAUAUUGGGGGAGCCAGGGACCGUUGCUGGUGUUUGUACUGGGAUGGAGUACGGAAUAAGGACUUGUGGCACAAGUGUUUGGCUGCUGAAAGUCAAGGAAGAAGAGGAAGCAGCAAUAGGCAGAGGUGAUCUUUGAGCUUUAUCUGUGUUCAAUAUAAGCACGUAGGUGACCAUUGGCUUUCUCCCGAGCUUUAUCCAGGGCAGGAUUCGAACCUGCAAUCUUCAGGGCAUGAGCCUAAUGAGUUUUCCAAUUACUCUACCUGGCAUGGCUUCGUUCGAGAAGCUCUCAAUACCUUGCAACAAUUUCUCUGGCCCAUUUCCUGAUGUCUUUGGAUGUAAUAUUCUAUCUUGAAAAGAAUUUUGGAGUAAGUUAUAUGCUCAAUCAAGCUAAUGGUGCAAGCACAAGGCAGCAACAAACUUCAAACUUUGUAGUGAAGGUUCCUUGGCAAGAACAUCAUCAGAUGAAACGAUUGAGUACGAGACCUUGCUAUCAACACUCGAUAUCAGCGGACAGAACAUAUCCAGGGCAUCUCAUCUUUCAACAUCAAAUGAUCUCUUAGUUCACCCUUUGCAAGAUAAAAAUUUCGCUUCUCGCUAUUUGAAGGCAUCUCAUCUUUCAACAUCAACGUUCUUUUUAUCGCGAUCCUACAAAAUUUCCACAUACCUGUUUCUGUGUAGUUUGUUUAUGUCAUGUUUUUAUUGAGUGUAGUAGGUAAAGGAGACUCUUAUGAUUUAUAAAUUCCCAUUGAUAUGAACAUCUGUAUUCUCGUGUUGUUAAAGUAAAUAACCUAAUUCCCAUUGAUCUUUUUUUUUCUAACUUGGGGGACGGCGCGCGUUAGCACGAUUAUUGUGCCGUAUGCUCGCGCCUUGGAUAAUACCAUAAAUCACUAUUUGUAAUUAAGUAUAUUAAUAAUCCGCAAAAGCUUUCAAAUUGUAAUUACUUUAUUAUGAAAAUAAUACUUCU